GCCAGCAUCCGUCUCAUGAUUGAAAUGUUUGUGGAAUGAAUGUACAAAUGAACAAAGCAGCUGAAGUCCUCGGCUCAGUCCAGGGCGCUGUACAGAAGUGCACGUGCUUCCCGGAUUCCUUCCCUGAUCUCAGUCCUGUAGUCUACCUUAGGUGCCUGCGAUCAUUAGGUGGGAGAGUCCCCAGUACCCGGCAGCGCCUGUAAGCACCCGCUUAUCCCCAGUAGACAGGCGAUGAAUGGGGAGUAAAUUUUCAGGAGGCCCCAGAGGCUCAGGCCGUUUCAGUCUUUUGAUUUUUUUUUUCCCUCUGUUAUUACAAGUCCCCUCUGGCCUGAAACCUGACUCGGGACUUCUCAGGCCUGGAUCCAGCUCCCAUCUGCAUCUUCGCCUAGAAAAGCAUCCCUGUCAGUCUCCUCCCCUUUGGCUUGCGUUCUGCACCUGAUCUGCACCCGAUUUAGAUUGGGAGACUUCCCUCUGCGGCCGCACCUCAGCCCUGCUACAGCGAAUGGGACGUCCACAGAGCCCCAGCGGGACUGCGAGUGUGCCGCAAAACCGUGCACCCACUCUUCAUCCAGCCCCUACAGCGCCAGGCCUUGUGCACCAUCCAUAUUGGUAGUUACCGCACGCACUCCCUCUUGGAACUUCCGAAUAUUCAUGAGGGAGGCAGAAAGGCCAGUAUGAAAGAGGGGGAGAAACCGUCAUUCAUAAAUAUUAAUCAUGGCAGGUCCAUGUGCUCCAAGGAAGGCUGUGAAUGCUAACGAGCGGGUGACGUUGAACCCUGCGCGUGCCCGUCGGGCGGGUGCACGAGAGCGGGCGCGCCCCCCGAGGCCCUGGCACGAGCGCGGGGAGGGGGCGGGGUGGAGGAGGGAGCGGAGCCCGGCGCCGCCGGAGCUGCAGGGGGAGCGCUCUCUGGCUGCCUCACCCGCUCGCGGCUGCCCGUGCGCUGCGCUCCAGCCGCUCGCCGCUGCCGGUGGAUGGGGGUGUCCAGCUGAGUCCCGGGAUCCGCCUCCCUCAGCCAGGACCCGCACAGGGCUCAGCCGGGAUACAGCGCCGGGCAGGGCCGGGGAGAAGAUGAUGGACACUUCAAGCGUGGUCUCAGCGCGUGGGCCUCCGGCAGGCCGGGCGUGUGCGCGUGCGUGUGUCGCCUUGUGCAUGUGGCUGUGCAUAUAUGUACAUGUGUGUGCAAGCGCGUGGCCUUGUGUGCAUGCACGUGUGUGCACCUGUGUGUGUGUGUAG
ensembl:lncRNA